UUAAUCAGGCACUCUAUUUUUUGUUAUACUGUAAUAGGUACACUUGUUGAGAAAACAUUUUUUUUUUUUUUUUAUCAACUACCAACCAAAGGUAAAUUAUAAAUUAAUAAGAUUCUUUAUAUGGCAUACGCCUAAUGAUGAGUGUGAAGAAAAAGCUCCCUACAAAUAUUUCAUUAGGAAAAGUUAUGGAAAAUGAUAAAAAAGCCAAAACUUAUUGCCCCCCCCCUAGUAGAAAUAUUCUGGCUACGUAACUAAGUACUUCUACCAUGGUGCUGACUGGGUUUAUAGUUGACGUCAGUUGUCAACUUGAAGUGAACCUCUGUCUCACUAUUUUGUCUACUCAAUACAUAAUUUUUCAAUAAUGCGUCGUGAUCAAAUGAGUAACCAACAUAUUGGUAUCUACGUUUUCUAAUAUUAUCCACAUCAUUCUAGAAAGACAAACAAGAUUUUAGAUGUACAAUAUGGAUUAUUAAUGGUAAG